rnacentral:lncRNA from 1 species
CCUGACUCCAGUGAGCCACCUCUGCUGAAAAGGGGAGAGGGUAGAAUUAGGCUCACAGCGAAUGAAAAGAAAACUUCUGUUACGAGCCUUAUUCAUUCAUUGAAACAUUUACCUGUUGCCUACUGGGUCCUAGAUGAAGGCAACAGGCAUUUCCUUGUCAGGUUGGAGCCUGUCUUUUCACACAAGUGACAAAGUAUGCUUUGAAUGUGUAAUGUACUGGGCGUGUAAUUGCCCCUAAGAAAAAUAAUAGUAAAGGAGUAGAAAGUGAGGGGGACGUUAUUUUAUGGAGGCCAAAAAUGACUUGUUAGAGUUAACAACAUUUCAGCAAAGUUCUGUAGAAUGAGAAUGUGACAAUCCACGAAGAGUUUAAGGUAGAGGGACUAGCAAAAACAAAGACCCUAAGAAGGGAAUGUGUUUGGCAAGUUGAAAGACCAGGAAAUAAGUCAUUGUGACUGGAUGACAGUGAAGGAGGGGACAGUGGUAAGAGGUGAGGCAAAAGGCUUUGUUGAGUACCAGAGUGUAUUUUGUCCACCUGAAUGAAGUGAUGCAUUUAUGGCUUCUGUUUCCCCUUACAUAAACGAUGUUGCCAUUCAGAUCUAUCUUGUAUGUGUUUCUUUAAAUAAACUUCAUCAGUGCAACCCCUUCAUUUCUUCCUACAUACGACCCAUUGCAGGAGAUCUCUGAGCAAAUGAUAGCAGGAUAUGAAAUGACUUGAAUUCACACUGACUCCUUUAAAUAAUGAACUAGAACCAUUGUUUUCUCAUAAGAUGUGGGGUGGGAAAAUUUACAGGGAUAUUGCAUACCUGUGGUUACUGUCUUAUAAGCAAAAUAUGCUGGAGCUCCUUUUUUUUUUUUUGUUAGAAACUGGAGUGUUUACUCAAUGGCAAAACUAAAAUCUGCCUAAAAUAUUAAGGCUGAAAUUACAAACAACAACCACCAUGAGAUUUCCCUUUUCUAUAAACAAAAACUCUUGCUGAGGUAAAGGCUGGAACACAAACCCACACAAAGAAGUGCUGAAGAUGGCCAUAAAGUCAUUGUUAAAAUUAGAAACAACAGAACUGUGGGAAAAGAUUAUCUUUCCUGAAGAAAAAAAUAAGUUUUAGAACUCUGAAACUAUGUGCAUGUAUCAUUGUAAUAAAUGAUGUUCCUAUAUUUUGCAAUGAUGUGUUAUUCAAUUUGGCAAUGUCUGUUACUGUCUCCCACCCUGUUUUCCAGGAAAAGAAGUUUGGAACUAGUGAAUAUUCAGGAAUUUUUUUUUUGGGGGGGGGACUUUUUUUUUUUUUGUACUGGGGAUAGAAUCCAGAGGCACUUU